UACAGAGGGUGCGAGCGUUAAUCGGAGUUACUGGGCGUAAAGGGCGCGUAGGCGGUUAUAUAAGUGAGAUGUGAAAUCCCUGGGCUUAACCUAGGAACUGCAUCUCAUACUGUAUGACUGGAGUAUUGUAGAGGGUAGUGGAAUUUCCGGUGUAGCGGUGGAAUGCGCAGAUAUCAGGAGGAACACCAAUAGCGAAGGCAGCUCGCUGGGACGUUACUGACACUGAGGCGCGAAAGCGUGGGGAGCGAACAGG
rnacentral:rRNA from 1 species